ACGAGUGGCGGACGGGUGAGUAAUGUCUGGGAAACUGCCCGGUGGAGGGGGAUAACUACUGGAAACGGUAGCUAAUACCGCAUAACGUCGCAAGACCAAAGAGGGGACCUUCGGGCCUCUUGCCACCGGAUGUGCCCAGAUGGGAUUAGCUUGUUGGUGGGGUAACGGCUCACCAAGGCGACGAUCCCUAGCUGGUCUGAGAGGAUGACCAGCCACACUGGAACUGAGACACGGUCCAGACUCCUACGGAAGGCAGCAG
rnacentral:rRNA from 1 species